ACAAUCAGAUUCUUGUCCACCUUGUGUGCAAUUCGAGAAAAAAGCCUACCUUGGAGGGAUCGUCUCCGGUCUCUCCAAGGAGGUCAUCACGAUCAAACAUUUUUUUCUUUUCUAUCUAAAAAAAUACGAAUUUAAAUAAAAAA
rnacentral:misc_RNA from 1 species